rnacentral:rRNA from 1 species
GACGUAGGGGGCAAGCGUUAUUCGGAAUUAUUGGGCGUAAAGCGUGCGCAGGCGGUGAUGUAAGACAGGUGUGAAAUCCCCGGGCUUAACCUGGGAACUGCAUUUGUGACUGCAUCGCUGGAGUGCGGCAGAGGGGGAUGGAAUUCCGCGUGUAGCAGUGAAAUGCGUAGAGAUGCGGAGGAACACCGAUGGCGAAGGCAGCCCCCUGGGCUGACACUGACGCUCAGGCACGAAAGCGUGGGGAGCAAACAGG